UUUGGAAAACUUGUUUCUGUUUGUUGCCGGGGGAACGACUAGAGGCAGAGAGGAACUUUAAUGAUCUUUCUAAAGAAAAUGGAUUAAUUGCCCUUGUUCUUCCUGGUUCUCCUAAUGAAGUUCCUUUAUCUUGCAACAUAAAGCGCAACCUUACUGCCCUCCUGAUGCCGACUCUUUUUUUUUUCUGGAUACUUGCUGCCGUGGAAACAGCCCUGAUCUCCCUGCUGGGAAACGUGUUAACAGAACUGAAACUGGGUGUGUUUGCAAUUGGACCCACAUGUCUGGAUGUCCAGUAAAGAGGAAAUGUGGUCAACUGUUUGACCCACAUCAGUAUGCACUUCUAACAACUGCAAAUGGCAGCAGGGGCGGAGCUAGAUGAAAAGUGAUCAGUUCCAGUUGACGUGGAAGCUUUGCUGCAGAGACCGCCACAAUACUCAGGUGUGGCUUUGUUUCAUUACUCUGAGCGUUUUGACUGUGUGCAUUAGGGCAAAUCCUAUGUCAAACAUAGGAGACCUGCAGCGGUGUGUGAACUAUACGAGAAAUGCCAUUAAGGUGAGAGAAGG